rnacentral:rRNA from 1 species
CUGCGGCAGCGACACUGUGUGUUGUUGGGUAGGGGAGCGUUCUGUAAGCCUGUGAAGGUGUGUCGUGAGGCAUGCUGGAGGUAUCAGAAGUGCGAAUGCUGACAUAAGUAACGAUAAAGCGGGUGAAAAGCCCGCUCGCCGGAAGACCAAGGGUUCCUGUCCAACGUUAAUCGGGGCAGGGUGAGUCGACCCCUAAGGCGAGGCCGAAAGGCGUAGUCGAUGGGAAACGGGUUAAUAUUCCCGUACUUGGUGUUACUGCGAAGGGGGGACGGAGAAGGCUAUGUUGGCCGGGCGACGGUUGUCCCGGUUUAAGCGUGUAGGCUGGUUUUCCAGGCAAAUCCGGAAAAUCAAGGCUGAGGCGUGAUGACGAGGCACUACGGUGCUGAAGCAACAAAUGCCCUGCUUCCAGGAAAAGCCUCUAAGCAUCAGGUAACAUCAAAUCGUACCCCAAACCGACACAGGUGGUCAGGUAGAGAAUACCAAGGCGCUUGAGAGAACUCGGGUGAAGGAACUAGGCAAAAUGGUGCCGUAACUUCGGGAGAAGGCACGCUGACACGUAGGUGAAGUGAUUUACUCAUGGAGCUGAAGUCAGUCGAAGAUACCAGCUGGCUGCAACUGUUUAUUAAAAACACAGCACUGUGCAAACACGAAAGUGGACGUAUACGGUGUGACGCCUGCCCGGUGCCGGAAGGUUAAUUGAUGGGGUCAGCGCAAGCGAAGCUCCUGAUCGAAGCCCCGGUAAACGGCGGCCGUAACUAUAACGGUCCUAAGGUAGCGAAAUUCCUUGUCGGGUAAGUUCCGACCUGCACGAAUGGCGUAAUGAUGGCCAGGCUGUCUCCACCCGAGACUCAGUGAAAUUGAACUCGCUGUGAAGAUGCAGUGUACCCGCGGCAAGACGGAAAGACCCCGUGAACCUUUACUAUAGCUUGACACUGAACAUUGAGCCUUGAUGUGUAGGAUAGGUGGGAGGCUUUGAAGUGUGGACGCCAGUCUGCAUGGAGCCGACCUUGAAAUACCACCCUUUAAUGUUUGAUGUUCUAACGUGGACCCGUUACCCGGGUUGCGGACAGUGUCUGGUGGGUAGUUUGACUGGGGCGGUCUCCUCCUAAAGAGUAACGGAGGAGCACGAAGGUUGGCUAAUCCUGGUCGGACAUCAGGAGGUUAGUGCAAUGGCAUAAGCCAGCUUGACUGCGAGCGUGACGGCGCGAGCAGGUGCGAAAGCAGGUCAUAGUGAUCCGGUGGUUCUGAAUGGAAGGGCCAUCGCUCAACGGAUAAAAGGUACUCCGGGGAUAACAGGCUGAUACCGCCCAAGAGUUCAUAUCGACGGCGGUGUUUGGCACCUCGAUGUCGGCUCAUCACAUCCUGGGGCUGAAGUAGGUCCCAAGGGUAUGGCUGUUCGCCAUUUAAAGUGGUACGCGAGCUGGGUUUAGAACGUCGUGAGACAGUUCGGUCCCUAUCUGCCGUGGGCGCUGGAGAACUGAGGGGGGCUGCUCCUAGUACGAGAGGACCGGAGUGGACGCAUCACUGGUGUUCGGGUUGUCAUGCCAAUGGCACUGCCCGGUAGCUAAAUGCGGAAGAGAUAAGUGCUGAAAGCAUCUAAGCACGAAACUUGCCCCGA